UUUUACUGAACUUCUUUUUUCUUCUUCAUCUUACCAUUUGUACGAUACUCCUCAUACAUCCCUUGUUUUUUCAGCACAAGGCAUUAUAUAUUUGCUUUGAUGUUUUAGGCACUCAAAAUGCGAGAUUGGUCUGAAUGAGAGGAUAAAGGGAAACAAUGGGGAAACGCCGUUUACCGCCAUUGCGGAGCAAGAAGAAUAGCCAGCAAAAACGCAGGAUGCCACCAUUGUACACCGCCGCUGCACGGCCUCCUCAAGAAGGCUGGAGCAUCAGAGAGCGUGUCAAUUUCAGGAUCGCAAUUGGAAGAUUUGGUCAGGACUGGCCUAGAGUUGCACAGUUUAUCAGCACAAAAUCUACUGGUCAAAUCUGUGUCUAUGCCGAGGAAUAUUUCCUGAAGCGUCACACACAUAGCCCAGUGAAGAAUAAAAGGAUUCUGAUUAUCAGCUCAGGUUGUUGACAGGAGCAACACAUUUAAAGUAUUUCUACGCUGAAGCAACUGCAAUUGAAGAACUGAAUCAUCUGAAUUGUAAACUAUGGGGUUGUUCAGAUUAAUAACAUUUUAAACCAUACCAUUUUUUGGUAAAAUUGCUAAAUAAAGUUUUUUUUAUCAAACUUUAGUAAAUGCAUAAGGAAUCCUGCCAACUUGACAAUAUUGUCAAUUUACCAAAAUUUGGUAAGGUUUAUUUUGGCUACAAUCUGAACAGCCUCUAUAUCAGUCUCAAAUGACCUCAAGGUUCCACCACAUGAAUCAUUGAUGGUAUUAUUUCAGCUACAAAUAGUUACUCAAACUGCUAUCUGCACCUUGCAAGGGAAAUCUCCACUGGAAGUGUGGCCAAAUUUCACAAAAAAAUUCUACUCAUUGAAGAAAUAAAAGGACUGUUGAGGUUACAACAACAUAAACUAAUACAACAUUUCAACAAAACAUCAUGCAACAUUGUUUCACAUAUCCCAUUUCCACGCACCUAGUGCCCUACCACUACCUAACCUAGUCACAUCUGAUAUCACAUGUCAUUGGAUUACAGUAUAUACAUACGUGCACAUUGAUUGAACACAAAUGCACCAAGUGUUGAAACAUUAUACAGAAAGGUUGAUUUAUCAAUGAGAAGGAUUCCCCCUUCUCCAAAUGAAUAAUCAAUGAGAGAGCACGGUGUUAGAUACUGACCCUACAAGCCUAGACAAAAAAAUGCUCUACUCUUUCACCUACAUAUUAAUAAUUUUACAACAGCUGUGAAAAGAUGAUUAAGCCCAGAUCGGAAGAGAAACGUUAGCAGAUAUAGCCUGGCCACACCCAGUAUUCACUGAGGGGGUCUGAGCCU